rnacentral:rRNA from 1 species
AGCAGUAGCCACGGUAAUACGGAGGGGGCUAGCGUUAUUCGGAAUUACUGGGCGUGAAGUGCACGUAGGCGGCUUCGCAAGUCAGAGGUGAAAGCCUGGGGCUCAACUCCAGAAUUGCCUUUGAGACUGCGUCGCUCGAAUCCGGGAGAGGUGAGUGGAAUUCCGAGUGUAGAGGUGAAAUUCGUAGAUAUUCGGAAGAACACCAGUGGCGAAGGCGGCUCACUGGACCGGUAUUGACGCUGAGGUGCGAAAGCGUGGGGAGCAAACAGGAUUAGAUACCCCAGUAGUCCCUGUCUCUUAUAC